AAACCUAAAAAUGCUUCUUCUAUGAGAGCAAACACGACAUAUUCAGAAGCGCUUCUUUGAAGAAGCACUUUUUCUCACGCGCAUUGGCUAAGCUUUCACGGUUUCUCUUGUGCGACACACUCUCAAAAUCAUGCCCUCUCCCUCUCAAUUCUUACGCAACAAUUACGACGCUGAUUCUCUUGGUCUCGAAUUGGUUGGAUUUGGAUUUCAGAACUGAUUCGAAUUGUUAUCGACUCAGGAUUCGAUUCGCGUUGGGGCUCAGAAUCUGUUUGCGCUCGAAAUUUCAACUCGGAGCAGUUUAAGUUAAAGUUAGAGCAAGCAUACGAUAUCAUAAAGCUGAGAAUGGAGGAAUGCUUAUCGGUUGAAGCGAUGAGGAGAAGAAAAUGCAGCUUUCGAUCUUUCUCACAAGGUAUUCGAUAAAAUGCCUCACCGGAUUUUUUCCCUCUUUUUGCUUCUAUUUUACUUUUGAUUUGUUGCCGUUGUGUUUUAUAGUUGCUAUUGAUGAUUAUGCUCAGGUUAGUUUGCAUAUUAGCAUAUAAUUAUCUUCGUUAUUGCCGUUUCGUGCUAUUGCCGAUAAAAAGUAAUUAUUGUUCAUUAUGCGUGACAAAUAUAGUGUUUCUUUCCAUUGUUAUGAUUUCUUUCUUUGUUAACGUUCUAGUUGAAGUGGUUUAAUUCAGUUUUGCAAUGGGAAUCUGGGACUUGCAUAUGGUUGACAUAGUAGUAUAAUUUGUAUGAAGUAUGAACCCACUUAGUAUAUAACAAAAAUUAAUUGGAUUAUCCUAUUAAGCUAACAAUGUGAGUAGUUCUAUUAAAGACUUACAUGUUCUUUAUACAUGUGGUAUUUGUGUUAGAAGUUAGAACAGGGUAAUUGUAAAAGAAAAUGCCUUGUUUGACUAACAUCAUACUAGUUUAGGUUUGUGUACUAGUGUAAACUUAUGGACUAUUAUAUGAUCAUUAGGAAGCUCCAUGCAUGGAGUUACAGGAAGACAACAAAACUUCAUGCAAUGGCCAUUGUUUUUUGAGUGGAGUGAGGAUGCUUUGUAAUAAUUAGUAAUGUAGUGGACAUGUUUUGCAAUUACAUGAUUCCUUCUAGUUUUUGGUUUGAUGGAAUCAUUUUGUAGUGAAAAACUGAAAAUUGAAUAUUUACAUCUUUUUUCAUUUCUAAGUUGUUGCUUGACUAUUAGUCAAAGGGGUUGCAAACUGGAUGAUUGAGGCCUUGAAGCAUGUCAGCGAAUAGUCAUCUAAUGGAUCUUAGAAGGCCCAUGUCAGGUAUUUUUAUCAUACUUCACAGAAAAUGCAACAUGCAAUAUUCUGUAGUUAUUUAAUAUUAUGGCCCUGUAAGUACAAUUAGUGACAUUCUACUGCUGACCUUAUGAUAAUAGACCAGUAGGGACUUAACAUGCAGGAACUUACUCAUUCUAGAAUCAAAAUUUCAAUCAUUAUAAUUUUGUCACUGACCUUUAUAUACUUUAUUCUAUCAUUAUAAUUAUUAUUCUCAUGAUCUGAGUACUUUUUUCAUUGAAUCUUAGCCUCUCAAUAUCUUUUGGAAAUGUUUGGCAAUUAUUUAAUCAAUUAAUGUGAAAAGUUUAUUGGAUGUUUGCUUUUAGUCACAGGUGCUACAUUUUUUAAUUUGUAUUUGUCAAAAACAGAUGGACUCAUCUCACCAACUCACAUUGGAAUUUACAAAUGAUUUUGAACUCGCUAUUUUUUAAUUCUUUUGAGGUUCCUUAAAGUGCUUUUGGAAUGUGAAUUCACGUGUUAUAUUUCUGUUCAUUAAACUAACCUCAUGGAAAAAAUUUAAACUUUUAGGUUUCACAUGGAAAAAAUUUAACCUGACUGCGGCCUGUUUGACAGAAGUCAAAGCCAGCUCAUAUUUACGAUAGCUUUUAGUGAAAACCAUUAUUGACGAGCUGACUUCAGGUUUCCAAAGAUUUCUACAUAAUGCAUCAGUUUCGUAGUAAAGCAAGGUCGGUUUGAUCGUCCACAAAGGAAUCAAGAAAAGUCUUCACGUCAAUUUUGCCGAAGUUCUCGAUGAUGCCUGUUCUUGCAACGUUUGUGGCUUAGUCUGGCUUGGUAGUAUAAUACUUUACUCUCUUUAUUUUCUAUCUUAAAACUAAAUAUAAAUAUGAGUUAUAUGGUCUACUUUAUUGAAAUUAAUGUUUUUGUAAUUUUCAUAUGGGGAAUCGUUGUUAUAAAGCACCUGAACUUUUGAUGGGUUCUACCCGUUACUCAACUGCAGUUAAUAUCUGGUCGAUGGGCUGCAUAUUUGCGGAUAUGAUUAAGCUCAAACCUUUGUUCGUUGGUAAAGACGAACCUGAGAUAUUGGCUUAGAUAUUUUGGUAAUUUCACCAAAACACAAUCACUAUUAUAUGUGUAAUUUCUCUGCACUUAUAUGAAAUAAUGGAUUGGACAUUUUAUAUAUCAAGUUUGCUUGGCGUGCCAACAGAAGAAUCCUGGCCUGGUGUGUCUUCUAUAUGCACCUUUAUUCAACAUCUUGAUCCUUCAAUGAUGCCAAAGGUAUUCAUGUUCUGCUUUUGAUCUCCUUUUAUAAAUUUUGGGCAGCAAAUAAGCAAUGUAUGGAAACUAUUGGAUUUUGUAGGACCUAGCAUUAGAGUUCCCAAAGUCUAAUAGAUUUUAUUAUUCUUUUUCUAAAACUAUUUUUUGUUUUAAAAUUCACACUUAAUUUUCACUAACAACUUGAUUUUCACUUUUAAUUCACUUUUGUAAUACUAGCAUGAAUAGACAUAUAGAUUCAAAAGGAAUAUAUUGGAGCCAAUCCAACACUCCACCAACAAGAUACUCUGUUACAGUUGUUCAUUCCAAAAUCUCUAGUAUUUCUUUGUCCAGAGCUGAAUAUGAAAAUGCAGAAGUCCAGGAGGAAUUUUAUGAUGCAGUGGCUCUGAUUCAUCGACUUCAGAUGAAGAAAGUGAAGAAGAUGAAAAUCUUGAGAAUAAGGAUCGAAAGGUCAAACUAAAGAAUAUUUCAUGGGCAAUGACAGCUUUACCUUUGAAGCGAACAUCAGGUCAGCUUUUUCCGUGUCUUAAUAAUUGCAACUGCAAGCCUAAAGGCAUUAAUAAUAUCAUUUAGGCAGCACUAAAACUUACAUUUUUUUUGGAGCACCUACAGCAUUGCGCACAGUGCAAUGGUUGCAGAAGUGUUGUAUCUUAGAUCCCCAUUGUCCUGUCUGUUGGAUCUAAGUUAAAAUGAGAUAAAAUAUAUAUAGAAUUUUAGACCAAACAGCCAUUGCUUGUGACCGUAGAUCCCUGAGUUGUUUACUUUGUGAUUGUAGAUCCCUGCAUUGUUUACUUUGUUGAUGAAGAAACUAAUAGAAGAAACUAAGCUAUAUUAUUUGUUGAACACACAAUUAUGAUUGAUUGGUUUCUGAUAUUAUUUGUAUAAGUGUGUUUGAUCUUUAGAUUCAAAACAGCACUGCAUAUUUGGUUUUUGAAAUCCAUGGUAUGCUAGUGCUACUACUACCUCACUCACUCUCUGUUUCAUUGAUUCGAACAAGGCAAUGGCAAGAAGAGAAAGAAAAGUCAGCAAAGUGGAAAAGAUACAAACAAUAACAACAACGCAUAAGCGGUUUUCCCCAAAAGCUCCAACGGAGCGCUUAUUUCCCAAAGCGGUUUUUUCUGUUCAAAAUGGAGUUGUUACUCUGUUCUGUUGUGGAAGGUAAUGGAAAAACGACUUUGAAUUUGAAAUGCUUAGACUUGAACUAGUUAAAGAUGAAGCAUUAUUACUCUAUUUUUUGGUGUUAAUUUUAUCUUUGAUAUUGCUGAUUAAAGAUGAA